rnacentral:rRNA from 1 species
UGGGGAAUAUUGGGCAAUGGGAGAAAUCCUGACCCAGCGACGCCGCGUGAACGAAGACGGCCUUCGGGUUGUAAAGUUCUUUUAUGUGGGAAGAAGGAAGUGACGGUACCACAUGAAUAAGCCCCGGCUAACUACGUGCCAGCAGCCGCGGUAAUACGUGGGGGGCGAGCGUUGUCCGGAAUUACUGGGCGUAAAGGGCACGCAGGCUGUGCUUCAAGUCAGCUGUAAAAGGAUGCGGCUUAACCGUGUUAUGCAGUUGAGACUGAGGUGCUGGAGUACCGGAGAGGCAAGUGGAAUUCCCAGUGUAGCGGUGAAAUGCGUAGAUAUUGGGAAGAACAUCGGUGGCGAAGGCGACUUGCUGGACGGUAACUGACGCUGAGGUGCGAAAGCCAGGGUAGCGAACGGGAUUAGAUACCCCGGUAGUCCUGGCCGUAAACGAUGAAUGCUAGGUGUGCGAGCAGAGAUGUUGGCGUGCCGCAGUUAACGCGAUAAGCAUUCCGCCUGGGGAGUACGGUCGCAAGAUUG